CAGCAGCUUCGGUAAUACGAAGGUCCCGAGCGUUGUUCGGAAUCACUGGGCGUAAAGGGAGCGUAGGCGGCGUGGUAAGUCAGAUGUGAAAUCCCGGGGCUCAACCCCGGAACUGCAUCCGAUACUGCCAUGCUAGAGGAUUGGAGAGGUAGCUGGAAUUCUUGGUGUAGCAGUGAAAUGCGUGGAGAUCAAGAGGAACACUCGUGGCGAAAGCGAGCUACUGGACAAUAACUGACGCUGAGGCUCGAAGGCCAGGGUAGCGAAAGGGAUUAGAUACCCGUGUAGUCCCUGUCUCUUAUAC
rnacentral:rRNA from 1 species